rnacentral:rRNA from 1 species
GAUGAACGCUAGCUACAGGCUUAACACAUGCAAGUCGAGGGGAAACGAUAUUGGAAGCUUGCUUCCGAUAGGCGUCGACCGGCGCACGGGUGAGUAACGCGUAUCCAACCUGCCCGUCACUUGGGAAUAACCUUGCGAAAGUAAGACUAAUGCCCAAUGACAUUUAUAGAAGGCAUCUGAAAUGAAUUAAAGAUUUAUCGGUGAUGGAUGGGGAUGCGUCUGAUUAGCUUGUUGGCGGGGUAACGGCCCACCAAGGCGACGAUCAGUAGGGGUUCUGAGAGGAAGGUCCCCCACAUUGGAACUGAGACACGGUCCAAACUCCUACGGGAGGCAGCAGUGAGGAAUAUUGGUCAAUGGGCGAGAGCCUGAACCAGCCAAGUAGCGUGCAGGACGACGGCCCUAUGGGUUGUAAACUGCUUUUAUACGGGAAUAAAGUGGGCCACGCGUGGUCUUUUGCAUGUACCGUAUGAAUAAGGACCGGCUAAUUCCGUG